GAGUCUAGCAUGUGCGCGAGUCAUUGGGAUUGACUAAACCUAAAGGCGCAAUGAAAGUGAAGGCACGCCUCGCGCGGGCCGAGGGAGGAUGGGCGACGUUGCGACGUCGCUCCGCACUCCCGGGGCGUCUCGUUCUCAUCGCGAGAAGAGGCGCACCCAGAGCGUACACGCUGGGACCCGAAAGAUGGUGAACUAUGCCUGGUCAGGACGAAGUCAGGGGAAACCCUGAUGGAGGUCCGUAGCGAUUCUGACGUGCAAAUCGAUCGUCGGAACUGGGUAUAGGGGCGAAAGACUAAUCGAACCAUCUAGUAGCUGGUUCCCUCCGAAGUUUCCCUCAGGAUAGCUGGCGCUCGCUUUGCGAGUCUCAUCCGGUAAAGCGAAUGAUUAGAGGCAUUGGGGUCGAAACGGCCUCAACCUAUUCUCAAACUUUAAAUGGGUGAGAUCUCCGGCUUGCUCGAACGUGAAGCCGCGAGAUACUUAACAAGGAUCAGAGUGCCAAGUGGGCCACUUUUGGUAAGCAGAACUGGCGCUGUGGGAUGAACCAAACGCAGAGUUAAAGCGCCUAAAUCGACGCUUAUGGGAUACCAUGAAAGGCGUUGGUAACUUAAGACAGCAGGACGGUGGCCAUGGAAGUCGGA
rnacentral:rRNA from 1 species